rnacentral:rRNA from 1 species
GAUGAACGCUGGCGGCGUGCCUAAUACAUGCAAGUCGAGCGAACAGACGAGGAGCUUGCUCCUCUGACGUUAGCGGCGGACGGGUGAGUAACACGUGGAUAACCUACCUAUAAGACUGGGAUAACUUCGGGAAACCGGAGCUAAUACCGGAUAAUAUAUUGAACCGCAUGGUUCAAUAGAGAAAGACGGUUUUGCUGUCACUUAUAGAUGGAUCCGCGCCGCAUUAGCUAGUUGGUAAGGUAACGGCUUACCAAGGCAACGAUGCGUAGCCGACCUGAGAGGGGGAGGGACACAAGGAAAAAGGAGACACGGUCAAGACUCACGGGGAGGGGAGAAGUAGGAAUUAGGCAGAAAGGGCAAAAAGUUGAAAGGAGAAACGCGGAGGGAGGGAAGAUGGUAUAGGAAUGAAAAAACUUUGUCAUGGGGGAAAAAAAAAUGUAAAAGUAAAUCCGGACGUCUGGAAGGGCCCUAAAAAAAGAACCACGGAAAAAUCCGUG